rnacentral:tRNA from 1 species
GGCUGAAUAGCUCAGUGGUAAGAGCAGUCGCCCGACAAGCGAAAGACUCGGGUUCGAUUCCCGAUUCAGCGA